rnacentral:lncRNA from 1 species
AGGAAUGCAGGGUAUUUUUAGCGAAGAGAUUCUGCUUCAGGCAUGGGCAUUGUGUUCUUCCAAUUACAGGCAUGGCCGAGGAGGGCUGGGCGCCGAAUCACUUGAAAGAUCAGCAGGCUCAGCUGAGAAAUUCAUAGAAAAAAGAGAACUGACUGCUCAGGUGACAUGGAGGUAGAUCCCAGGAAGGAAGGAAGGGAGAGCAGGAAAGAAAUUGCCUGGGGGUUGAAGAGCUACCGAAGAGAAACUACCCAGCCACGAAACCACAUUUAUUGAGCUCGACCAUAAGAGAACAGGGUCUCACUCUGCCACCCAGGCUGGAGUGCAGUGGUGUGCUCAUAAUUC